GGGCCUGUAAAGGUUUCGACGGGGUUGUGGAAGUCGGAGAAGCAAGCCGUUGCGACACGUUAAUCGCACAAUUAAAAUUAAACGCUAACAGAAAUACUGUUGCACUCGCUGCCUAAGAGCAGCUGCUCCCCUUAGGCACUCACACUUAAGCCAGGAGUAUCAUCCAUGUGAGAAACGACAUAUCCUAAGCUUUGCGGAUAUGGGCGUACCAUGAAGCUACCGAAUGUGAUAGGGCGCUUAUCACCGGUCGCAGGAGGGAAUGCCAAUCGGUAAGCUAAGCUUGUAGAAGUACGAUGGAAACGGUUUCGGACACGGGUUCAAUUCCCGUCAGGUCCA
rnacentral:tmRNA from 1 species